rnacentral:rRNA from 1 species
ACCCCUGAAUUUAAGCAUAUUAAUGAGGGGAGGAAAAGAAACUAACAAGGAUUUUCUUAGUAGCGGCGAGCGAAAAGAAAAUAGUUCAGCACUAAGUCACUUUGUCUUUAUGGCAAAUGUGAGAUGCAGUGUAUGGAAUGUCAAAUUUCUAGUAUGAGAAAUUAACGAUUUAAGUCCUUCUUAAAUGAGGCCAUUUACCCAAAGAGGGUGCCAGGCCCGUAUAACGUUAAUGAUUACUAGAUGGCAUUUCCAAAGAGUCGUGUUGCUUGAUAGUGCAGCACUAAGUGGGUGGUAAACUCCAUCUAAAACUAAAUAUAACCAUGAGACCGAUAGUAAACAAGUACCGUGAGGGAAAGUUGAAAAGAACUCUGAAUAGAGAGUUAAAUAGUACGUGAAACUGCUUAGAGGUUAAGCCCGAUGAACCUGAAUAUCCAUUAUGGAAAAUUCAUCAUUAUGAUUUUAAUAUUUGUAAUAUUAUAAUAAUGGUGUGCAUUUUUUCUAUAAAGGACAUUGUAAUCUAUUAACUGUUUAUUCAAAUUAUUUUGCUUGCAAUUUAAUAUCGAAUAAAUUCUUUUGAUUUGAUAAAGUGUUGAUAGAUUUAUUAUAUACAGUGCUUAAAUAUUUAUAUUUUAUAAUAUCAUAUUAAUCAAUGAUUUUUAUGUUCAUUAUAUGCACUUGUAUGAUUAACAAUGCGAAAGAUUCAGGAUACCUUCGGGACCCGUCUUGAAACACGGACCAAGGAGUCUAACAUAUUUGCAAGUUAUUGGGAAUAAAAACCUAAUAGCGAAAUUAACAUAACUUUAAUGGGAUUAGUUUUUAGCCUAUUUAGUCUAUUAAUUCAAUCCCGGGGCGUUCUAUACAGUUAUGUAUAAUAAUAUUUAUAUUAUUUAUACCUCUAACUAGAGCGUACCUUGAGCAUAUAUGCUGUGACCCGAAAGAUGGUGAACUAUACUUGAUCAGGUUGAAGUCAGGGGAAACCCUGAUGGAAGACCGAAACAGUUCUGACGUGCAAAUCGAUUGUCAGAAUUGAGUAUAGGGGCGAAAGACCAAUCGAACCAUCUAGUAGCUGGUUCCCUCCGAAGUUUCCCUCAGGAUAGCUGGUGCAUUUAAAAAUUAUGUAAAAUAAUCUUAUCUGGUAAAGCGAAUGAUUAGAGGCCUUAGGGUCGAAACGAUCUUAACCUAUUCUCAAACUUUAAAUGGGUAAGAACCUCACCUUUCUUGGUAUGAAGGUUGUGGUUGUGAUAUAAUGUGCCCAGUGGGCCACUUUUGGUAAGCAGAACUGGCGCUGUGGGAUGAACCAAACGUAAUGUUACGGUGCCCAAAUUAACAACUCAUGCAGAUACCAUGAAAGGCGUUGGUUGCUUAAAACAGCAGGACGGUGGACAUGGAAGUCGUAAUCCGCUAAGGAGAGAAGGGUUUCGUGUGAACAGUGGUUGAUCACGAGUUAGUCGGUCCUAAGUUUAAGGCGAAAGCCGAAAAUUUUCAAGUUAUAAUGAAUAAUAAUAAAACACUUGAAUAAUUUUGAACGAAAGGGAAUACGGUUCCAAUUCCGUAACCUGUUGAGUAUCCGUUUGUUAUUAAAUAUGGGCCUUGUGCUCAUCCUGGCAACAGGAACGACCAUAAAGAAGCCGUCGAGAGAUAUCGGAAGAGUUUUCUUUUCUGUUUUAUAGUCGUACUACCAUGGAAGUCUUUCGAAGAGAGAUAUGGUAGAUGGACUAGAAGAGCAUGACAUUUACUGUUGUGUCGAUAUUUUCUCCUCGGACCUUGAAAAUUUAUGGUGGGGUCACGCAAACUUCUCAACAGGCCGUACCAAUAUCCGCAGCA